GGAGAGAUGGCCGAGAGGUUGAAGGCGGCGGUCUCGAAAACCGCUGUGGGGGUAACCUCACCGGGGGUUCGAAUCCCCCUCUCUCCG
rnacentral:tRNA from 1 species